UACGUAGGGACCGAGCGUUGUCCGGAUUCAUUGGGCGUAAAGAGCUCGUAGGCGGCCACUCAAGUCGAAUGUGAAACCUCGAGGCUUAACCUCGAGCCUGCAUUCGAUACUGGGCGGCUAGAGUCUGGUAGGGGGAUCGUGGAAUUCCUGGUGUAGCGGUGGAAUGCGCAGAUAUCAGGAGGAACACCGGUGGCGAAGGCGGGAUCCUGGGCCAGUACUGACGCUGAGGAGCGAAAGCGUGGGGAGCAAACAGG
rnacentral:rRNA from 1 species